GAGGGAUUUUUGGAGAGAAAGUUCUCGAGAAAAAGAGGCGAAGCGCUCCCAGAGAUCAAGGAGGUAGAAGGCUUUGACGAGUUUUCGAGCCAGCCUAGUAAACUGGGCAAAAUGUCUUCGAAAUCUUGAGAGAAUGAAGCUAUGAAGCACGAAAACGGCUCGGAGGUGCCGUUUCGGCGUUUCCGAACCGUUUCCUGUUUCGAAAACGCGAAGACGGCCUGAAACGGCCUUCAAAACGUUUCUGUAAAUUGCGAAAUGUUUUGGGGGCCGUUUCGCAAUUUACACAAAAUGUGGGAAACGCGUUUCACACUUGAAACGUGUUUCCAGCGACCAUGGUCGCUCACCUGCAGGAGGAAGACAAUGGUCACCGAGAGGCGAGGCGGCGGCGGUUGGCGGCGAGGCCAGAUAUGGAGUGUGCAGCAACGAUCGAGGCGAGAAAUAGUGUACGACGGUGGGCGGCAACGAGGGUGAGAGGCGAGCGACGAUGGUAGAAACACUUCGACUGUGAGAGAGGCGAGAUCGAACGCGAUGGUGAGGGCAAGAGACUUGUCAAUGGCGAGAGAGGCGAACGACGGUGGCAGAGAUGCUUCGACUGUGAGAGAAGCGAGACGAAGACGAGGGUUAAAAAUUUAUUGAAUCAUCAACAAAUAGAGGAGAAAGAAAGUUCCCAUACCUCUAGUGAAGAAAGCUCAAACACGUGCCUCAUGGUAAAUGAAGAAGAGGAGGAAGUUCCAACGGCUAUUUUUUCAAAUCCCAACGGCUCCAAACGGCUAUAUUUCUCUUCAACUUCGUGGGACACUUAUAUAUACAUGUCAUAGAUGAUCAAGAGAAGGCUAAUGGACGGAAACGAGAUGAUCUAGAAUUUGGAAAUCAUUUUAUUUGAGCUUACAGUGUUUUCUGUGCUUUCAAUUUUAUAUUUUUCUAUGCAAGGCUUCGUUCUAUCAUUGUAAAUCUAUUCUUAAGCCUAGUUUUCAUUGUGAGAGAACUUGUGACUAAGAGUGUUAACUCUUAGCUUCUCUCUUUCAUUUGUAUCGUUGUUAUUUUCCUAACUUGUGUAGCUAGAGGGCCCAUUUGAGUGGGAGGUUGUAAUUCCUAGUUUCGGACUAGAGGACCUACUUGGUUUAAGUAGGGGGUUUUAG